UGUUAUUCGGCCCUGUGUGUAUGUUGAAGCGCGUGCAGUGUGUAGAAUUUCCACGCAAGUGUCGUGACGGGCGUCUGCUGGGUCAGCUGUUAAAUAAUAUGUAACAGUGAUUUGAAACACGAAAUACCUGUUACAUUUCACAUUAGUGUUUCGUAAAUUGUGCUGUAAACCUAGCUCGGUAAACAUCCGUUGAACUCUACGAAUUUAACACACUUCUAACGGAACUCUUCGAUUUUUCGUCAUAUCCUAUUACUUGUGGAUGUAGUAGUCGUGUGUAAGGAAAUUAGGGCGUGAAAAGGUUCGUUUAGUUCAAUUGGACAUUUUGAAAAUUUGUUAAGAUACUACAUGGAACAAUAGAUAAUUCAGAUGACGUCAGGUUAUCGAAAGCCGGGUCAACAAGUUACUUAUUUAGUUCUGUACACGUUCCUUGUAUCGUUAAAUUAUCACGUUGCAGUUUCCACAGAGUGAACGAAUAUGUAUGAAAUUUUAUUAAACAAUUACGUGUAAUAUCACCAGCCAUUAAGAUAUUCUACAAACAAAUCUUAUAACCAUGAUUCAUGAGCAAUACAGCUACACUAAUGAUCGUUGUUAAUAAUCGUGAAAGAACGUAGGAAAACCAGAACUUAUAUGGGCCUAUCAUUGAUACAAUAGAAAAUGUCUAGAAAGCGUGCCAGAGAAGAAACUAUGUUGAAUUCUACAUCACAUUCAAAUAUACAAAAUGGAGAAAUUGCAUCCUGCUCUACCGAAGAUUUGCCAGCCUACCCUUUGGUGACAAUGACUUGGGGGACCAACAGGACAUCAAAUAAUGACUCAGGUCAAAUUUCACUGAAAAAAAUAAAUAGUGAAAUUUCUGUUUCCCACAAAGAACUUCCAUCGAUUUGUAAGGAAGCACCUUUUAGCGAUGAUUCUGAAGCACUUGCUGAAAGGAAUGCAUGUGAUUACAAUAUUCGUAUCACGUUAAAAAUGGCGAAAAGUGGUAAAGCUCCUAGGAAAGUCAGGGUAUAUGCAGAUGGUAUUUACGAUCUCUUUCAUCAAGGACAUGCACGACAACUCUUACAAGCUAAAAAUAUUUUUCCUAAUGUAUACCUGAUUGUAGGAGUUUGUAAUGAUGAACUGACUCACAGUAAGAAAGGAAGAACAGUCAUGACAGAUAUUGAAAGGUAUGAUGCAGUAAAGCAUUGUAGAUAUGUAGAUGAAGUGGUUAGAGAUGCUCCUUGGGAAUUAGAUGAUGAAUUUCUUACAAAACAUAAGAUCGACUUUGUAGCACACGAUGACAUACCUUAUAUGACAGAUGAUAGUACAGACGUUUAUGCUGCACUAAAAGCUAAAGGUAUGUUUGUAGCCACACAGAGGACAGAAGGAGUAUCCACAUCAGACAUUGUAGCCAGAAUAGUUAAAGAUUAUGAUAUUUAUGUAAGAAGAAACCUUGCACGAGGUUAUAGUGCCAAAGAACUUAAUGUUUCUUUUCUCAAUGAAAAGAAAUUCCGAUUACAAAAUAAGUUCGACGAUUUAAAAGAUAAGGGUAAACGUGUUAUGGAAAACAUUGGUGAAAAACGUAUGGAUAUGAUCAGCAAAUGGGAAGAAAAAUCUCGAGACUUUAUCGAUGCUUUUCUACUACUAUUUGGCAGAGAGGGCAGAUUGUCUACAAUUUGGAAUGAAAGUAAAGGUCGGUUGAUGCAAGCAUUAUCUCCCCCUGCAAGUCCAAAAAGGGAUGGCAGCCCAAAUGGCAGUAGUAGCAGCAAUAAUGAUGAAGAUCAGAUAAGGUACAUCACAGCAUUCGAGUCAAUUGACUAACAUGCAACACCACUUCAUUUUGUACUGCUUCUAUAUGAAAACCUUCAAUACUUCACACCACCCAUUUGCAGCAUGUUAUUCCACCGCCGAAAAAGACUGGCCGUUUCGAAUUGUCACGGAAUAAUUACUAUUUAAGUGAUGAUUAUAGCGACGAUGAGGAGGAAAAUUUACACUACAAAUGAUAACCCAUUUCCCAAGAAUAGCAUUCUGACCAAAUAUACUGUGCAAUCUCUCCAAGAAUGUUUAGAGAUAUUUUCAUACAGCUAUGUGAUCUGCUGAUAUGGAUUAUAAUGCUAUGCUUGAUAGUCUCUGUAUGGCAUGAUUUCUUAUAGAUUACACAUAGAAAUCGCAUAGAUUAUUUAAAACAUCUGUUAUGACUACUUUCAAGAAUUUUUCAUUAUCAUUACUUGCAUUCUUAAUAAGUUCCUAUGUUGUGAACGAUAAUUUAUUAUAUAUUUUGAAUUGUAUAAUUAACUGCAAGAGUUUACAAUAGACAAGUGACAUAUUCUUAUUUUAUAAAUCUGUUAGUAAUUUAAAUGUCCAAUUCAUGGUUUAUAACAAUUUUCAAUUACUUUCUUACGAAUUUUAUAUAACAUUUUGUACAAGUUACCUCAUAAUUAAUCGCUUAAAUAAUGUUACAUAUGCAGUCAAUAUUUUUGUUGCAAUGUAUAUUAAAUUAUACUUCAGUUUUCAAGUGUUUUACUAGAUAUAGAUAAUGUGUAUGAUAAGAGUAUUAUUUAUUUUUACUUUUGGUACAUAAUUACUCUGUUAAUAAUGUAUAGUUCAAGGCUAACAUGUGGUAGGUGAGCAUCAGAUUUAAAUCUGAAGUUGAACAAGUAUGUCUAAUAUUUAUAAAAUACAUCUAUAAAACAAAAUGUAAAAUACCAGGAAAGUUAUUACUUUCCUGAAACACAUCAAUUUAUUAAACAGGAUUUGAUGAUUAAGUAAAUUAAGUUGUUGGUAAUGAUCAGUAGUUGAUGCAAUUAAAUUUAUAUUUAGAAAAAAAAUGUAUCUUUAUAAAUGAAUAACAUUUUCUUUCUGAAAACAUACCAAUGGUGCCUGAGUUGAAACUUUUAAUUUAAUUACAUGCAAAUUGGUACACUGUUUCUUCAAAGCAUGCAAGAACAUUUUUAACAUUAAUGUUUGUUUAAAGAGUAACUGGUGCAUAAAUUAAUAAUGUAUAAUAAUGUGAGAUAAGAAUAGUACUUGCAAUUGUGUUUAUUAAAUGAUGAGACGAUAUUGUGUAGUUAAUAAUUUUCUUUUAAAAUCAAAACUCUUGAAUAGUGCAAAAUUAUAUAUUUUUAAAGCAAAAUAUUCAUAUAUUCAUAAUAUCACAAAUCAUGUCUGCUUAAAUAUGAAUAAGAAAUGUAGUAACUUGUGCGUUCAUGUUAUUUGUAUAAGAGGUUAAAAACUAAUAAAAGUUGUUCAACGAAUGCUUAAAAAUUGUUUUAAAGUUCAAUUGAAUAAGAUUAAUUAGUUGCAACGUAUUUUCAAAUACUUAUAGAUCACACUGUAAAAUAUAGUUUAUGUAUUUAUGCCUUUUUAGUAUAGUUUUAGUAUAUGUUUUUUUGUUAGUAUAAGAGGUUUAUUAAUACUCCAUUUGUGAAAAAUUUAUUGUACUGUAAACACGUUAAUUUACUUUUAAAACUGUAAUAACAAAUUAUUGAUGAAAUUUUAA